rnacentral:lncRNA from 1 species
AAUGAACGGAAUAUUAGAGCAACAAAUGUCCUAUUUUCAGCUGGCCUGUGUUUCUUCUCAUCACAUGAGGAGAAACUGUCGAAGUGAAAUAUAUUGACUCCAGCUAACAAAUUAGCAGGACAGGCUGUUGUUCCCUAAGCAUUCUAAAACUGCAUUAAGACUUCACACAGACCAAGCAAUGAAACCAGUUCAACAGAACUUUUGGUUUUUCUUCAACCCAUAUUUCUUUCUCUUUUGAUAAACUUCAUGAUUCAAAAGGUUGAAGGAAGCUUUAUUGUCAAAUUCGGCUAAGGAGCAUAGUGGUAGAUUGAGGGAAGACAUUGCUAAACCAGAGCAAGCUCAACAGAGGUCCCUGGUUAGGCUUAGUAAGGGUAUUUAACAAAUAGCUGACAUUAAUUUAUUUUUGAUACCAGACUCAAUCGCAUGUAUGAUGUGCUCUUUGUUGACAAGCAACAGAGAAGCAAACGUGUAAUUUCAAGAGGAAACCAUCAGAAAUAUAAACAUAUAUGAGACCAGAAUUCUUUCUUGAAGGAUGCAUCAGAAAGCCUGGUACGAAUUUGAUGCCUCACCUUGCAAUGCAUUACAGUCUGCUUAAUUAAGCCAUUAGCUACAAGCAGCAAAUAAAUAAAAUUGGAAUGGUAGGUGCAAAGAAACACAUAGGUUCACCAGUCUGGUUCCAAAGGUAAUGCUGUGCCUGUACAAAUGUCAAAUAUAUAGUUAAGAUAAUUUGUAUUAGUGACGACAGCACAAAUUUUACAGGAACUGGAAACUUUGUUCUACAUAGGUUAUCUUUCUGUAAAGAUCAGGUAGUCAUAAAAAUAUUGGAUAAGAAAUCAGACAUAACGUGGACCAUGACUGUUAAACUAUAUUUCAUAAUCACCUAUUGUUUGGACAGACUGGCCUUGGAAGCCUCACCCUUUCACAGGUGUAGAAGUAUAAAUUCUGAUGCUCUGUGUUAUUGGCACCUCUUGGCAAGAUGGGUACCAACAAGAUCUUGCUUUUCCUCUUAAGUACAGCUCUUCUGGAUGCCACCGCAGUUAUGCCACUGAGAUGGUCAUGCACACAGAUGGAAAACCUGGAGACUGUAAAAACCCAGCCUUGCACAUUUCCACAACCAAAUCAUAACAGUGAUAGUGUUCAGGUAGGUUGUGCUUUCUCAGAAACCAACAUUUAGUAUCACCAAGGACUUUCUAAAUACUAUUGAUAUUUCACAAGGGUGAUAUCUUGGACUUGCCAUUCUCAGCAGACACCUCCUGAGCAGUAUUACGCCUGUUAGCAUCAUGGUUUGCAUUAACAAGGGGACUUCAGGCACAUGUGCUUCUAAUACAGAGGCACAAAAAAAAAAAAAAGUGUUAUACUCCUUCUAGGGAAACCUGUCUGUUUGCUGAAACCU